rnacentral:rRNA from 1 species
GACAUCCAGAGAACUUGGCAGAGAUGCCUUGGUGCCUUCGGGACCUCUGAGACAGGUGCUGCAUGGCUGUCGUCAGCUCGUGUUGUGAAAUGUUGGGUUAAGUCCGCAACGAGCGCAACCCCCUAUCCUUUGUUGCCAGCGAUUCGGUCGGGAACUCAAAGGAGACUGCCGGUGAUAAACCGGGGGAAGGUGGGGAUGACGUCAAGUCAUCAUGGCCCUUACGAGUAGGGCUACACACGUGCUACAAUGGCGCAUACAAAGAGAAGCGACCUCGCGAGAGCAAGCGGACCUCAUAAAGUGCGUCGUAGUCCGGAUCGGAGUCUGCAACUCGACUCCGUGAAGUCGGAAUCGCUAGUAAUCGUAGAUCAGAAUGCUACGGUGAAUACGUUCCCGGGCCUUGUACACACCGCCCGCCACACCAUGGGAGUGGGUUGCAAAAGAAGUAGAUAGCUUAACCUUCGGGAGGGCGUUUACCACUUUGUGAUUCAUGACUGGGGUGAAGUCGUAACAAGGUAGGCGUAGCGAG